GACGAAGGUGGCUAGCGUUGUUCGGAAUCACUGGGCUUAAAGAGCACGUAGGCGGCCUGUUAAGUGCUUUGUGAAAUCCCCCGGCUCAACCGGGGAAUUGCUGGGCAUACUGGCAGGCUCGAGGCAAGUAGGGGCGCGUGGAACCUUUGGUGGAGCGGUGAAAUGCGUAGAUAUCAAAGGGAACGCCGGAGGCGAAAGCGACGCGCUGGGCUUGUCCUGACGCUGAGGUGCGAAAGCCAGGGGAGCAAACGGG
rnacentral:rRNA from 1 species